UUAGCUCUCUUUGCCUUUUGGCUUAGAUCAAGUGUAGUAUCUGUUCUUUUCAGUUUAAUCUCUGAAAGGUCUCAUAGAGACCAAUCGUGAUUAUUCUUAUUUUUGGCCUGCGGGCGGUUUCCUCUGUGCUUGCACAUGAUUCCACCCACUGUGUCCCUGGUAUUACACUGCCUCCAGGCGACGCGAAACUGCU
rnacentral:snRNA from 1 species